CUACGGGCGGCUCCAGUGGGGAAUAUUGGACAAUGGGGGAAACCCUGAUCCAGCAAUGCCGCGUGUGUGAAGAAGGCCUGCGGGUUGUAAAGCACUUUCGGUUGGGAGGACUGCUUCUAGCACUAAUAUUGUUGGAAGUUGACGUUACCUUCAGAAGAAGCACCGGCUAACUCCGUGCCAGCAGCCGCUGGUAAUACGGAGGGUGCAAGCGUUAAUCGGAAUUACUGGGCGUAAAGCGCGCGUAGGCGGCUAGAUCAGUCGGGUGUGAAAGCCCCGGGCUUAACCUGGGAACUGCAUCCGAUACUGUCUAGCUUGAGUACAGGAGAGGAGAGUGGAAUUCCACAUGUAGCGGUGAGAUGCGUAGAUAUGUGGAGGAACACCAAUGGCGAAGGCAGCUCUCUGGCCUGAUACUGACGCUGAGGUGCGAAAGCGUGGGGAGCAAACAGGAUUAGAUACCCCUGUAGUC
rnacentral:rRNA from 1 species